rnacentral:antisense_RNA from 2 species
AGUUAUGGCGGCUGUGCGUGGGACGUCCAUGGACGUGCCGGUUUCCUAGUUUCCCGGUUUUCCAACCUGCGCGCAGCUGCCACCCAU